GACGGGGGGUCCAAGCGUUGUUCGGAAUCAUUGGGCGUAAAGCGUGUGCAGGUGGUCUUGUAAGUUAGGUGUGAAAUCCCCGGGCUCAACUCGGGAAGUGCACUAAAACUACAAGACUUGAGUAAGGAAGAGGGUCGUGGAAUUCCUGGUGUAGUGGUGAAAUACGUAGAUAUCAGGAGGAACACCGGUGGCGAAGGCGGGUCUCUGGGCCGAUACUGACGCUGAGGAGCGAAAGCGUGGGGAGCGAACAGG
rnacentral:rRNA from 1 species